UUAAAUUGAAGAGUUUGAUCAUGGCUCAGAUUGAACGCUGGCGGCAGGCCUAACACAUGCAAGUCGAACGGUAACAGGAAACAGCUUGCUGUUUCGCUGACGAGUGGCGGACGGGUGAGUAAUGUCUGGGAAACUGCCUGAUGGAGGGGGAUAACUACUGGAAACGGUAGCUAAUACCGCAUAACGUCGCAAGACCAAAGAGGGGGACCUUCGGGCCUCUUGCCAUCGGAUGUGCCAGAUGGGAUUAGCUAGUAGGUGGGGUAACGGCUCACCUAGGCGACGAUCCCUAGCUGGUCUGAGAGGAUGACCAGCACACUGGAACUGAGACACGGUCCAGACUCCUACGGGAGGCAGCAGUGGGGAAUAUUGCACAAUGGGCGCAAGCCUGAUGCAGCCAUGCCGCGUGUAUGAAGAAGGCCUUCGGGUUGUAAAGUACUUUCAGCGGGGAGGAAGGGAGUAAAGUUAAUACCUUUGCUCAUUGACGUUACCCGCAGAAGAAGCACCGGCUAACUCCGUGCCAGCAGCCGCGGUAAUACGGAGGGUGCAAGCGUUAAUCGGAAUUACUGGGCGUAAAGCGCACGCAGGCGGUUUGUUAAGUCAGAUGUGAAAUCCCCGGGCUCAACCUGGGAACUGCAUCUGAUACUGGCAAGCUUGAGUCUCGUAGAGGGGGNUAGAAUUCCAGGUGUAGCGGUGAAAUGCGUAGAGAUCUGGAGGAAUACCGGUGGCGAAGGCGGCCCCCUGGACGAAGACUGACGCUCAGGUGCGAAAGCGUGGGGAGCAAACAGGAUUAGAUACCCUGGUAGUCCACGCCGUAAACGAUGUCGACUUGGAGGUUGUGCCCUUGAGGCGUGGCUUCCGGAGCUAACGCGUUAAGUCGACCGCCUGGGGAGUACGGCCGCAAGGUUAAAACUCAAAUGAAUUGACGGGGGCCCGCACAAGCGGUGGAGCAUGUGGUUUAAUUCGAUGCAACGCGAAGAACCUUACCUGGUCUUGACAUCCACGGAAGUUUUCAGAGAUGAGAAUGUGCCUUCGGGAACCGUGAGACAGGUGCUGCAUGGCUGUCGUCAGCUCGUGUUGUGAAAUGUUGGGUUAAGUCCCGCAACGAGCGCAACCCUUAUCCUUUGUUGCCAGCGGUCCGGCCGGGAACUCAAAGGAGACUGCCAGUGAUAAACUGGAGGAAGGUGGGGAUGACGUCAAGUCAUCAUGGCCCUUACGACCAGGGCUACACACGUGCUACAAUGGCGCAUACAAAGAGAAGCGACCUCGCGAGAGCAAGCGGACCUCAUAAAGUGCGUCGUAGUCCGGAUUGGAGUCUGCAACUCGACUCCAUGAAGUCGGAAUCGCUAGUAAUCGUGGAUCAGAAUGCCACGGUGAAUACGUUCCCGGGCCUUGUACACACCGCCCGUCACACCAUGGGAGUGGGUUGCAAAAGAAGUAGGUAGCUUAACCUUCGGGAGGGCGCUUACCACUUUGUGAUUCAUGACUGGGGUGAAGUCGUAACAAGGUAACCGUAGGGGAACCUGCGGUUGGAUCACCUCCUUACCUUAAAGAAGC
rnacentral:rRNA from 1 species